rnacentral:pre_miRNA from 1 species
UUUUUAGUAUAAGUAUAUCCCAGACAAUAUUUGGGAUAUACUUGUACUAAAA